AUACGGAGGAUGCAAGCGUUAUCCGGAUUUAUUGGGUUUAAAGGGUGCGUAGGCGGUUUGUCAAGUCAGCGGUGAAACGCAAGGGCUUAACCCUUGACCUGCCGUUGAAACUGGCGGACUUGAAUGCGGAUGCUGUGGGAGGAAUGUGUGGUGUAGCGGUGAAAUGCAUAGAUAUCACACAGAACACCGAUUGCGAAGGCAUCUCACAAAUCCGUGAUUGACGCUGAGGCACGAAAGUGUGGGGAUCAAACAGGAUUAGAUACCCUGGUAGUCCACACUGUAAACGAUGAUGACUCGCUGUCGGCGAUAUACAGUCGGUGGCCAAGCGAAAGCGAUAAGUCAUCCACCUGGGGAGUGCGACCGCAAGGUUGAAACUCAAAUGAAUUGACGGGG
rnacentral:rRNA from 1 species